UCUACUACCAGGGCAAACCUUAAAAACUCUCUACUGAGAAUACAGCUAAAACCAGCCUAAGCUGAUCAGUUGUUUUGGCUAGUCUCCCAAACUGGUUUUUAAGUGGUUUUGACCACUCUCACGCUGGUCUUAGCUGGGUUUUAGCUGGUUUUUACUGAAUCCACUGUUUUUACCUGGUUUUUGCCAGAUUCGCAUAGAAACAUGCUAACAACAUGCUAGUUACUCACUAAUCAGACUAGAAACAUACUUCUAACAAGUUUUAAAGUGGUUUUGGCCACUGUCACGCUGGCCUUAGCUGGUCUUAGCUGGUUUUAGGUGGUUUUCUUUACUGAAUCAACUGGUUUUAGCUAGAUUAUCAUAGAAACAUGUUAACAACAUGUUAGUAACUUGAUAAUCAGACUAGAAACAUACUUCUAACAUGGUUUAAAGUGGUUUUGGCCACUGUCAAGCUGGCUUUAGCUGGUCUUAGCUGGUUUUAGGUGGUUUUCUUUAAUGAAUCAACUGGUUUUAGCUAGAUUAUCAUAAAAACAUAUUAACAACAUGUUAGUAAUUUGCUAAUCAGUCUAGAAACAUACUUCUAACAUGGUUUAAAGUGGUUUUGGCCACUGUCAAGCUGGCUUUAGCUGGUCUUAGCUGGUUUUAGGUGGUUUUCUUUACUGAAUCAACUGGUUUUAGCUAGAUUAUCAUAGAAACAUGUUAACAACAUGUUAGUAACUUGAUAAUCAGACUAGAAACAUACUUCUAACAUGGUUUAAAGUGGUUUUGGCCACUGUCAAGCUGGCUUUAGCUGGUCUUAGCUGGUUUUAGGUGGUUUUCUUUAAUGAAUCAACUGGUUUUAGCUAGAUUAUCAUAAAAACAUAUUAACAACAUGUUAGUAAUUUGCUAAUCAGUCUAGAAACAUACUUCUAACAUGGUUUAAAGUGGUUUUGGCCACUGUCAAGCUGGCUUUAGCUGGUCUUAGCUGGUUUUAGGUGGUUUUCUUUACUGAAUCAACUGGUUUUAGCUAGAUUAUCAUAGAAACAUGUUAACAACAUGUUAGUAACUUGAUAAUCAGACUAGAAACAUACUUCUAACAUGGUUUAAAGUGGUUUUGGCCACUGUCAAGCUGGCUUUAGCUGGUCUUAGCUGGUUUUAGGUGGUUUUCUUUAAUGAAUCAACUGGUUUUAGCUAGAUUAUCAUAAAAACAUAUUAACAACAUGUUAGUAAUUUGCUAAUCAGUCUAGAAACAUACUUCUAACAUGGUUUAAAGUGGUUUUGGCCACUGUCAAGCUGGCUUUAGCUGGUCUUAGCUGGUUUUAGGUGGUUUUCUUUACUGAAUCAACUGGUUUUAGCUAGAUUAUCAUAGAAACAUGUUAACAACAUGUUAGUAACUUGAUAAUCAGACUAGAAACAUACUUCUAACAUGGUUUAAAGUGGUUUUGGCCACUGUCAAGCUGGCUUUAGCUGGUCUUAGCUGGUUUUAGGUGGUUUUCUUUAAUGAAUCAACUGGUUUUAGCUAGAUUAUCAUAAAAACAUAUUAACAACAUGUUAGUAAUUUGCUAAUCAGUCUAGAAACAUACUUCUAACAUGGUUUAAAGUGGUUUUGGCCACUGUCAAGCUGGCUUUAGCUGGUCUUAGCUGGUUUUAGGUGGUUUUCUUUACUGAAUCAACUGGUUUUAGCUAGAUUAUCAUAGAAACAUGUUAACAACAUGUUAGUAACUUGAUAAUCAGACUAGAAACAUACUUCUAACAUGGUUUAAAGUGGUUUUGGCCACUGUCAAGCUGGCUUUAGCUGGUCUUAGCUGGUUUUAGGUGGUUUUCUUUACUGAAUCAACUGGUUUUAACUAGAUUAUCAUAGAAACAUGUUAAUAACAUGCUAGUAACUUGCUAAUCAGACUAGAAACAUACUUCUAACAUGGUUUAAAGUGGUUUUGGCCACUGUCAAGCUGGUCUUAGCUGGUUUCUAACUGAAUCAACUGGUUUUAGCUCGAUUAUCAUAGAAACAUGUUAACAACAUGUUAGUAACUUGAUAAUCAUGUCAAAAACAUGCUUUUAACAUGGUUUUAAAGUAGUUUUGGCCACUGUCACGCUGGUCUUAGCUGGUUUCUAACUGAAUCAACUGGUUUUACCUGGAUUAGCAUAGAAACAUGUUAGUCACUUGCUAGCCAUGCUAGCCACAUGCUAGUCACAUUUUAAUCAUGCUAGCAACAUGCUAGUUGUAUACUAAUCAUUCUAAAAACAUGCUAGAGACAUACUAGCAACAUGCUAAUCAUGCUACAAACAUGCUAACGACAUGCUAGUCACUUGCUAAUCAUGUUAAUAAAAUGCUAGCAACAUGAAAAUCAUGCUAGAGACAUGCUAGCCACAUGCUUAUCAUGCUACUAAAAUGUUAACAACAUGCUAAUCAUGCUACAAACAUGCUAGCAACAUGCUAAUCAUGCUAGCAAAAUGUUAGCGACAUGCUAGCAACAUGCUAAUCAUGCUAGAAACAUGCUAACAACAUGCUAGAGACAUGCUAGCCACAUGCUAAUCAUGCUAGAAACAUGUUAGCAACAUGCUAAUCAUGCUACAAACAUGUUAGCAACAUGCUAAUCAUGCUACAAACAUGCUAGCAACAUGCUAAUCAUGCUAGCAAAAUGUUAGCGACAUGCUAGCAACAUGCUAAUCAUGCUAGAAACAUGCUAACAACAUGCUAGAGACAUGCUAGCCACAUGAUAAUCAUGCUAGAA